rnacentral:sRNA from 1 species
GCCCGGCAUGGUGGCGCAUGCCUGUAAUCCCAGCGGCUUGGGAGGCUGAGACAGGAAGAUCUUGAGUUCAAGCCAGCCUCAGCAACUUAGUGAGGCUCUAAGCAAUUUAGCAAGAUCCUGUCUCUA